UAUGCAAUUAGAAUUCCUUAAUUUAAGGAAUUAAUAUUGAUUUACUUAUUAAAUUAAGUAAUUAAUAUCUAUACAUAUUACAGUCCUUCUGUCAUCUAAAAGGCGAAGGCGAGGAGAGUCUCCGACGAGAACCCCUUUCGUCGCCGACAAACUCGCAGGCGGCAAUGCAGAGCAUGGGUGAUUAUAGCUGAUAUGGAGUGAAAUGAAAUGGAUGGUUCGAAUUUGAGAUCUGGGGAAGUGAGUUUGAAUUUCAAAGGGUUGUACAGUAUGCCAGUGAAAAGUACAGAUUUAUUUUUGUUUGGUUAAUUAAAGAUUGAACAAGUUUGAAUGAGAUUCAUGGACCUUAUCUCUUUUGCUUUAAUUUGCAGUAUAUACAAAGUUUGCUUGAAUCUCAAAAGAAAUAUAGUGGAGUAUCCCUCACCGUCUCCUCCUCCGCCUCCACCACUUCCGC
rnacentral:lncRNA from 1 species